GUUCGUCUACUCGCUGCUCGGCCGAUGCGCUUCGUGACCUGUCGCCUCGUCGCCCUCGACCCCUCGCCUGUUCAUCUACUUCACCAGAUCCCCCCAAUUCACCCAAUCAGUGAAGGAAAUUAGGGCUAUUCGGUAAGACUAGAAAUUUUGAGUGUAUUAGCUAUUGUAGUGGUCAGUGGAUGAGUGGAGAAGAAUACUACAAUAUUCUAGGAGAUUAGGACGGCUGGAAGCACCGGCCAGGUAGCAACAUGUCAAGUGAAGCUCAGUUUAUGGAAAGGUUUCCAAAAAAGAGGAGAACCAUAGUGUGAGAUGAAGGCUCGUCACACCAACAUAAUCAGAAUGAUGCCUCAAUCCCGCCACUGUCGGUCGAACAAAAUGUUGUCCCCUCACCACAUGAACAGCUUGAUGUCCCAGCCCCACCAUCACCACUUGGACAGAAUGAUGCCUCCACAUAUGAACCUAAUUCUGCCAAUAAUACAAGGAAUUUAUUUCAAGUUGAAGAAGAGAUCAAUUGGGAAGAGCAAAUUAAAUUUGAUCCAAGUAAAAGGAGAAGUAUUGAUGAGUAUCAUCCGGAUCUGAGAGAUAUGGUAAGACUGAAGUACUUGGCCAAUGGACCUUGUCAGCCUCGUACUGGUGAUUUUAAAGUAACCAAAAUAUGUGGUAGAGAUAGAAGGUUCGUUCGGGAAUGGUUUGAUGAGUUUGAGAGAUGUCUUGAGUAUAGCGAGUCCGAACAUAAAGCGUAUUGUUUUUG